rnacentral:tRNA from 1 species
UUCUAAUAUGGCAGAUUAGUGCAAUGGACUUAAACCCCAUAUAUAAAGUUUCCAAACUUUUUUUAGAAA